rnacentral:rRNA from 1 species
UGGGGAAUUUUGGACAAUGGGCGAAAGCCUCAUCCAGCAAUGCCGCGUGUGUGAAGAAGGCCUUCGGGUUGUAAAGCACUUUUGUCCGGAAAGAAAUCCUUGGCUCUAAUACAGUCGGGGGAUGACGGUACCGGAAGAAUAAGCACCGGCUAACUACGUGCCAGCAGCCGCGGUAAUACGUAGGGUGCAAGCGUUAAUCGGAAUUACUGGGCGUAAAGCGUGCGCAGGCGGUUUGCUAAGACCGAUGUGAAAUCCCCGGGCUCAACCUGGGAACUGCAUUGGUGACUGGCAGGCUAGAGUAUGGCAGAGGGGGGUAGAAUUCCACGUGUAGCAGUGAAAUGCGUAGAGAUGUGGAGGAAUACCGAUGGCGAAGGCAGCCCCCUGGGCCAAUACUGACGCUCAUGCACGAAAGCGUGGGGAGCAAACAGGAUUAGAUACCCUGGUAGUCCACGCCCUAAAACGAUGUCAACUAGUUGUUGGGGAUUCAUUUCCUUAGUAACGUAGCUAACGCGUGAAGUUGACCGCCUGGGGAGUACGGUCGCAAGAUUAAAACUCAAAUGAAUUGACGGGGUCAUAGCUG